rnacentral:rRNA from 1 species
UUGGGAAUCUUGCACAAUGGGGGAAACCCUGAUGCAGCGACGCCGCGUGGAGGAUGACGGAUCUAGGUCUGUAAACUCCUUUUUCAGGGAAAGACUUAGGACGGUACCCUGAGAAUAAGCUCCGGCUAACUACGUGCCAGCAGCCGCGGUAAGACGUAGGGAGCAAGCGUUGUCCGGAUUUACUGGGCGUAAAGGGCGCGUAGGCGGUCUGUUAAGUGAGUACUAAAAUCUCCAGGGCUCAACCCGGAAACCGGUUCUCAUACUGACAGACUUGAGGAAGGCAGAGGUAACUGGAAUUCCUGGUGUAGCGGUGAAAUGCGUUGAUAUCAGGAGGAACUCCAAUGGCGAAGGCAGGUUACUGGGCCUUAUCUGACGCUGAGGCGCGAAAGCGUGGGUAGCAAACAGGAUUAGAUACCCAUGUAGUCCCUGAGCGGGCUGGCAAGGCGCAU